rnacentral:rRNA from 1 species
UGUAAGUGGUAAAAAUAAGGAGUCGGACCUGCCCGGUGAUUAGUUUAACGGCUGCAACGAGAGUUGUGCUAAGGUAGCGUGAUAAGUUGUCCUUUAAUUGGGGAAUGGUAUGAAUGGUUUGACGUGGAAAUACUGUCUUUGGAAAAUUAGAUGAAGUUUCCUUUUAAGUGAAAAGGCUUAUAUUUUUGUAAAAGACGAGAAGACCCUAUCGAGCUUAAUUACAGUUUUUGUUUUAUAAGAACUGGAAUUUUUGUUGGGGCAACAUAGAUCAAAAUAACGGUUUAAUGUUAAAUGUAGAUCCUUUGUUGAAAGAAAAUAGCAAAAGCUACCGUAGGGAUAACAGCGUUAUCCUUUUUAAGAGAUCGAAUUGAGAAAAGGGUUUGCGACCUCGAUGUUGGAUUAUGGAAACUUUUUGGUGCAGCAGCUAAAAUGGUGAGACUGUUCGUCUUUUAAU